rnacentral:rRNA from 1 species
CGGCGGACGGGUGAGUAACGCGUGGGAACUACCCUGUACACACGGAUAACAUACCGAAAGGUAUGCUAAUACGGGAUAAUAUAUUCGAGAGGCAUCUCUUGAAUAUCAAAGGUGAGCCAGUACAGGAUGGACCCGCGUCUGAUUAGCUAGUUGGUAAGGUAACGGCUUACCAAGGCGACGAUCAGUAGCCGACCUGAGAGGGUGAUCGGCCACAUUGGAACUGAGACACGGUCCAA